AGGGUUUGAUUCUGGCUCAGAGUGAACGCUGGCGGCGUGCCUAAUACAUGCAAGUCGAACGGAAUUUAAAAGAGCUUGCUCUUUUAAAUUUAGUGGCGCACGGGUGAGUAAUAUAUAGCUAAUCUGCCCCUUGCUGGAGGACAACAGUUAGAAAUGACUGCUAAUACUCCAUACUCCUUUUUACCAUAAGAUAAAUCGGGAAAGAAUUUCGGCAAGGGAUGAGACUAUAUCGUAUCAGCUAGUCGGUGGGGUAACGGCCUACCGAGGCUAUGACGCGUAACUGGUCUGAGAGGAUGAUCAGUCACAUUGGAACUGAGACACGGUCCAA
rnacentral:rRNA from 1 species